UACAAACUCAGUUCGCUGGCUGUAACUCAAGUUGGUCAAUUGAAGGGUCAGCCUCCUCUACACAGCCCUCAAAGUCUCUCUCCUGUACACUGGCAGAUCUCAGUGUCCUUAGAGAGACAUUGGCCCAGGAUUUCUCAGUGAACCCCACACAGAAAAGGAUGUUGUCAUAUUCCCUCCAGCACUCUUUAAGGGUUAAAUUUGUAUCUGAGACCAUCUGGAAGAACAAGUGGCAGGCAUUUGGAUGGUAACUCAAGACUUUGGUUAUAAGUUAAAACUAAAAUUCCGGUCAUAACCCAAGUCGUUCAUAUGUUAGUCCAGUCUAACUCGAGAGUCCACUGUAUGUGGAGUCAAUGCAUCUCACAGUUCCCACGGGACAGUGCUGAGCAGGUAAACUGUAGAAUUACUCUACAGAAUGUCAAGACACACACCAUUGCCUUCUUAUCUAAAAACAAAGAGGUAAUAAUAGCCCUCGAGUUGGACAGUCAGUUCAGGAAUCCCAGGCACUUGCAUUCUGGACGCCAUUAGAAGCUGAAGCCCAAAGAAGUGCAGUGUACAGCCCACGUCCUGAGUGGGAGAGGAGCCGCGUGCUGCUUCUUCCCUGCCUCGUGGAUGAGCAGGCGAUCCAGGCAGACCCCAGCACAAGCCCCAUCUGAAAAACACAAAGAUGCCAACUUUCAUUAUCUUCAUUCAUCUUCUUUAUUUUCUCAAUAAUGUUGUAGGAUUGCUUCAGUUAGGCCAGGCACAUUUCUUGUUAAGGCUACUCAUAUAUAUUUUAUGCCCUUUUGUACUUCGUGAAUGGAGUGUUUCUUUCUUUCCAUCAUGUUUUCUCACCGGUUAUUUGGGGAUGUAGUGAAAGCUGAG
rnacentral:lncRNA from 1 species